AGAAAAAAGGAGUAUUUGGCAGUAGUAGACCCGUCCAACGUCCAACAGAUUUAAGUGACCUUCAAAAGGGCUUUCCAGGGUAAAAAGGUUUACAAGUAAAACAGGCUCAAACAAGUACUAACGUUGAACCGGUGCGUAACGUCAGCAGUCAGCAGUCAGCAGUUAUAUAACUAUAGAGCGUCUUAUUUGCUACCCUUAAAAGUAGCUCGUGCCAGAGCCAGCAGAUGCUAAGGGAUCAAACGUCGUUGUGCCCCGACAUAACGUCUUUUGCCCCGCUAUCACCAUCACCAAGCAGUAAGCACUCCGUCUGCUACAUCGGGUACCUAACUACUGCCCACGUCUAGCCGUUUCAUUGUGAGCCCAAGGGGACGAUCCGUUACUGCAUGCAUACAUCCAGAUCCAGAAAACAAGUUGAACUUGACGAUUUAAAGAUCAACUCUUGCUUCCAUCGCCACCAGCUGUGAAUAUACGAUUUCAGAUAAAAAAAAAAAAAGUUACCAUACCAGAGAAGACUAGACCUGAUUAUUCUGAGGCACGCAGAGGAUGAGUAGACCUUGGCGGGAUUUGCCGAGGAUCGAGAAUUGAGAAUGGAGAGGAUGAGUCUGCCCCUUUAACCACCUAAAUUUCCGCGAGAGAAAGAGGAACCGGCUGAGACUUUGCCCGCCACUGUUACUGAUGGGCAUAUGUUGCUGGCUAUUCGCCGGUUUAUCUGGAAUCUAACGACGCGGGAGGUAACAGGUCCUCUUUCUGCUCAAUCUUACACACAACCACCAACCACCAACAGCCAACAGCCAACAUUUAACACACAUGUAGUAACAUCCUAUCCAAUACAGAUAUAUAUCCUUGACCUUGGAAUAAUAAUCUUGCACUCGGAACUUUAAUUUCUGUGGAUUCUCUUCCGCGACUACUUCACCGGCUGGGUGAUACUUCCUUGCCUCUUCGCACCAACUCAUUAUCUACUUGUCCGCUGUCUUCUCUUCUUUUGAACAAAAAUUUAAGAGUUCUUUUCCGAUUUAUUUAAGUUAAAACUUUAGUCAAGAAUUUAAUAUUAUCUUACGAAGGCUCUCCCUUACUGGUUAAUCUAGUUCGCAGUUAUUCUUAUUAGGUGGCUACCUGAACAACCGGCUUUAGGUAUUUUUUAUUUAAACUAAAACUCCUUCGUGUCCUUUUAAAUAUUUUUAAAUACCAUCACGGU